GUGCUUUGGCAGCACAUAUACUAAAAUUGGAAUGAUACAGCGAUCACUAUAGUCCAUAUCCAAGGAUGUCACAUAAAUUCUUCAGUGAUCUAUAUUUUGU
rnacentral:snRNA from 1 species